rnacentral:rRNA from 1 species
ACUCCUACGGGAGGCAGCAGUGGGGAAUCUUGGACAAUGGGCGCAAGCCUGAUCCAGCCAUGCCGCGUGAGUGAUGAAGGCCCUAGGGUCGUAAAGCUCUUUCGCCAGGGAUGAUAAUGACAGUACCUGGUAAAGAAACCCCGGCUAACUCCGUGCCAGCAGCCGCGGUAAUACGGAGGGGGUUAGCGUUGUUCGGAAUUACUGGGGCGUAAAGCGCGCGUAGGCGGACUGGAAAGUUGGGGGUGAAAUCCCGGGGGCUCAACCCCGGAACUGCCUCCAAAACUCCCAGUCUUGAGUUCGAGAGAGGUGAGUGGAAUUCCGAGUGUAGAGGUGAAAUUCGUAGAUAUUCGGAGGAACACCAGUGGCGAAGGCGGCUCACUGGCUCGAUACUGACGCUGAGGUGCGAAAGUGU